rnacentral:rRNA from 1 species
AACUUAAGCAUAUCAAUAAGCGGAGGAAAAGAAACCAACCGGGAUUGCCUCAGUAACGGCGAGUGAAGCGGCAAGAGCUCAAAUUUGAAAGCUGGCUCCUUCGGGGUCCGCAUUGUAAUUUGCAGAGGAUGCUUCGGGUGCAGCCCCCGUCUAAGUGCCCUGGAACGGGCCGUCAUAGAGGGUGAGAAUCCCGUAUGGGGCGGGGUGUCUGCGUCCGUGUGAAGCUCCUUCGACGAGUCGAGUUGUUUGGGAAUGCAGCUCUAAAUGGGUGGUAAAUUUCAUCUAAAGCUAAAUACUGGCCGGAGACCGAUAGCGCACAAGUAGAGUGAUCGAAAGAUGAAAAGCACUUUGAAAAGAGAGUUAAACAGCACGUGAAAUUGUUGAAAGGGAAGCGCUUGCAACCAGACUCGCUCGCGGGGUUCAGCCGGGCUUCGGCCCGGUGUACUUCCCCGCGGGCGGGCCAGCGUCGGUUUGGGCGGCCGGUCAAAGGCCUCCGGAAUGUAGCGCCCUUCGGGGCGCCUUAUAGCCGGGGGUGCAAUGCGGCCAGCCUGGACCGAGGAACGCGCUUCGGCACGGACGCUGGCAUAAUGGUUGUAAACGACCCGUCUUGAAACACGGACCAAGGAGUCUAACAUCUACGCGAGUGUUCGGGUGUCAAACCCGUACGCGCAGUGAAAGCGAACGGAGGUGGGAGCCCCCUCGCGGGGCGCACCAUCGACCGAUCCUGAUGUCUUCGGAUGGAUUUGAGUACGAGCGUAGCUGUGGGGACCCGAAAGAUGGUGAACUAUGCCUGAAUAGGGCGAAGCCAGAGGAAACUCUGGUGGAGGCUCGCAGCGGUUCUGACGUGCAAAUCGAUCGUCAAAUUUGGGUAUAGGGGCGAAAGACUAAUCGAACCAUCUGGUAGCUGGUUCCUGCCGAAGUUUCCCUCAGAUAGCAGUAACGCGGAUCAGUUUUAUGAGGUAAAGCGAAUGAUUAGAGGCAUUGGGG